GGAUCUGCACUUUUAAAGACGGAAAGACAAGUAUGUGUCAGAAUGUUGCUUUGUGGUGUAUUGGUUUGAUGCUCCCUUCUUCCUAUGAAAAUGUAGAGAAAAAGUGGGACAUAAUCAUCGCAAGCCAGGGGCCUUCAGGCAAUCCAGGGACAACUUCUGACAGGUUCAAGCUGAGGUAUUAAUAAAUUUCAUGGAGUGCAGAUUUCUACAAUCUCUCUUGGGAUUGCAAAACUAGGCUGCAAAUGAGAGGACUCAGCAUCUCUGCAGAUAAGUAAUUUCAAGGCAAGAUACACGAGCUUGUGAUCAUCAGGCUAAAUAAGCAAAGCAGUCAUUUCUGGUUUUCCUGCAUGGAUAUGUCCCUCUCACCUUAUGUGAUCAAAUGGCCAUUACGAUUACAGAGGGAGAAAAAACCAUCGCAGAUUAGAGAUGUCUCUAGAAAAGCCUAGAAAGUGAUCUAACACUUGUUUGAGGACAAUUGUUGAAAAGAAUGUUUGCAGUUCUUUCAAUAUUCUCCACGGUGCUGAGAACUAAAGAACUGCAUGCCUGAAGAACUGAGAGAGCAAAGGCAAUGUGUAACAAGCAGAUUGAAGCCUCGGUGGCCUCACAAAAACGCCAACAGAUAAUGGAGUUUAUUUUUGUUUCUGGAAUACCGUCCUCGCAGUUUUUAUACUUGGAGAAAGGUUUGCAGAAACACCACAAAGACUACCUAAGGAACAGAAUAGGUGACUUCCCGCUCCAAAUCACUAAUGGCACUUCUCUAUUCAGAUUUGAGAUCAUCGUGCUUAUAAGGCCCUUGCUGCGAGGUGGGAUCAGGACUUCAGUCAAACCCUGCCUCCCAGAGCUCUGAAAGAACAUGGCCACACUACCAUGUACAAAGACGUGAAAAACAGAAAGGUAAAGUCUUCUCACCUUUAAUCAUAACAACAUGCUUAUUAACAUAUGCAGAAUCAAGUGGAGUUACAGCUUCAUCCCAUUACAAUUCUUUCUUUUUGCCUCCAUCAGACUGUAAUGAUUUGUAGUUUUAUCACGCUGCCACUUUUAGAACAGCAAACAAGCAUACACAUGAGAAACAUAACAGGAUGUACCCUAGGUUACCAGGACAUUUUAGUUCCAUAAUCAGUAUUUCAGCAGAACACCCUUUAUAAACUGGAUAUUGUCUAUCUAUAAUCCUUAGGUAGAAGGAUGUUCAAGACUUUGCAAUACAUCUUCUGCAGCUGUUGAUUAUUAUAAUGGUAACAACCUUCUUUCUCUCCAAGUUUUAGAGGUACCAAAUACCAAAGUUAUCUAUGCUUUCUCCAUUAUGACACUUAUCCAUAAACAUUCAAAAUCAUGUAUUUCUCACUUUUCUGUGAGUUGGAAAGAAAUACACACACGCACACAGAGCGCAUGUGGUUGAUACAUUUUUAUUUACAGUGUCAUUCACCACCCUUUUAAUCCACGCAUACAAUCCUCAGUAGGUUGAAAAGCACCAGUCUUAUAUCUCAUCUCUUUCUCCUAGGGUUCCAUAAUUUCAAGUAAGUCAAAUUAUGCAUAUAAAUGAGCAAUUCAAAAUCUUUUCACUUAUUAGUCAGGUCCCUAAUCUCUAUGUACAGACUGUUCAAAACAUAAAUUCCUUUCAGUUCUUUGUUGAGAACAAAAUUAAUCAAAGCAGUAACUAGAUUCGGGCUGAAAUUAAUGUUCAUUUAUUCAUCUCUUUCUUCACUCCUCUUCUGUUACAAGUCCGUGAUUAUAGCCUGUCUUGCAAGGUCUCCACUGACUUUACUGAAAGCUAUGCACAUCUUACAAUCCUUUUACCCUUCAACCACUUAUAAAUAAACUCAUUAUUCCACCAAAUCAAAACCUUUUAGGAAACUAGCUGUUUCAUUCAUAAGACAGGAGAAAAAUGAGAAAAAUCAUUUCAACUUUCUUCCCCUUCAGCUACUCAGAUUUUUUUUCCAUGCAGACCAAAGAGUUAUGCUGUGAAAUGAUGUUUUAACAGUUACUUUUGUAAUCUGUCAGUUAGCUCUUGCCCAGUGAUAUCUGAAAAGAAUACAAA